CUUCCAUACCUCACAAUUAGUGAGGAUGAUGUGUAUUCUCACUGUGAGUGACACAAUUGAUCAUAGGGCCCAUUGUACAGCGCUACGGAAUUUGUUGGCGCUAUAUAAAUAAUAAAAUAAUAAUAGGGCCAGCAAAUUAGUGGAGUAUUUCUGUAGGAGAGACCUUUUCCAAAGUCUUAAUGGAAUGUAAACAGAAAAUUUCUAACCUUGAUUGUACCACACUGAUGCUCCAUAGGAUAGUUGGAUCUUGGAAUAUCAAUGACCACUUAAUCGAUGCAAUCAAAACACAUCCGACACUUUCAUAAACCUUGGCAACAGACCUUAAUUUUGGCUAACUCUCCCAGAAUUUUUCCCCACCCCCUCAAGACCAAGGAACCUUAGGGACUCCUUGGUGUAUGCAGAUAUACCACGAACACAAUCACCUAUGACCAACUGGCUCUCCAAUAUUAUAGGUAUGUGGACAUUGUAUCAACUGCAAUGGGAUCAUAUGCAUGGACCCCUUUCCAUGUCACAGAACAGGGAUGAAAUAUACCCUUAGGGACCUAGUGAAUUGUUCGAUAUUCUGUGUUGUAUAUUUAUAGAAGUGACCGUGCGGAUUGGCCUAUGUGGGUUAGACUAGCUGUCCAUUAACUGUUAGAAUAGGAGAGCACAAGGGUAAUAUCCAUAAUCACAAUAAGCUAUCUUAUGUUGCUAGAAACUUUGAUAGCUAUAGACGCCCUGUGGCACAACUAGGGUAGCUGGCAAUAGAUCAUGUCAAGGCACCCACGCAGGAGGGAGUUAAGAAGCUUAAACAGUGAGAACUUUAAUAAAGUUAUUAGACACCCUACACCCCCAUGGUAUCAAUACUGCCAAGGACUUCUUGUGCUUUUGAUAAACAUGCCCUCUUAUCAGUGUUUUUGGUUCUUUACAAACAUAGGUCCUCUCACAUACUGUUGUGUUUCCAUUCUUGUGACUAGAUUGCAAACUUUAAAUCCUACAGGUAGCCCUGGCGUUAUUGCCUACCACUUUUUUCCCCUUGAUAAAUUCCAGGAUCUUAAUUCCACUUCAUGCCUUGAAUCAAUUAUAUAGUACAGGGGUGCUCAAAAGGUAGGCUGCCAGAUGUCAUAAAACUACAACUGCUAUCCUGUUUGGCAUCCCUUUAGAAUGACAUUUAUCAUGGAAACUGUAAUUUUAAAACCUCUGGGAUCUACCUUUUGGGCAACCCUGAGAUAGUACUAUGUAUACUGGUCUACUGUGACAUAUCAGACUUUUUUUUUUUUUUUUGUUCCCACAUUUUUCUACCAGCUGGUGGUGUGAUGGAUAGAAAUGAAUGUGUGUAAAAUGUCUAUUUACUAUGUAUACCUGUGUUCAUUUAUUACUCAAAAUGGCUGCUGGAGUGUCCCUUUAACUGAACUUUUCUGUGUCAGUGUGAGUUCUUCGGUGUGCACGCUUUAUUACAUUUAAACCAUUUGGACUGGGGCAGAUAUUCAAGCAAACACUUGGUUUGGUCUAGAGCAAUUGUAGGCCUUGUCUAUUGUCUUUUUC